rnacentral:rRNA from 1 species
GGAAUUGUGCGCAAUGGGGGAAACCCUGACGCAGCGACGCCGCGUGCGGGAAGAAGGCCUUCGGGUCGUAAACCGCUUUUCUGGGGGACGAGAAAGGACGGUACCUCAGGAAUAAGUCCCGGCUAACUACGUGCCAGCAGCCGCGGUAACACGUAGGGGGCGAGCGUUAUCCGGAAUCACUGGGCGUAAAGGGCGUCUAGGCGGCUUGCCAAGUAUGGCGUGAAAGAUCUCGGCUCAACCGAGGGAACGCGCUGUAAACUGGCAGGCUAGAGACUUGGAGGGGUGCGUGGAAUUCCCGGUGGAGUGGUGGAAUGCGUUGAGAUCGGGAGGAACACCUGAAGCGAAGGCGGCGCACUGGCCAAGUUCUGACGCUGAAGCGCGACAGCGUGGGGAGCGAAC